GCCCAAUGAUGAUACCAAGGCGAAUAUGAGCUCACUGAAUGAGAGCAUUGCGAUAUUCUUGUCUUUUCUGGCAGGUAAUCUUGGUAGUGUAGCGGAGGCUUUCUGCUCUGCUAUAAGGGCUUGCCUACAGUAACUUGGCUUUAACCAAAUUAUUCCUCUAAAGUUACAGUUGACUAAUCAAUGGGAGGAAGUCAACAGUGUCUGUGUGUGUGAGUGAAUAUUUGUUUAUGUUUCUGUUUGAGGUAAAGCAUUUGCCGAGCUCUCUGUUUGGUCAGCAGUGAGAUGUGUCUUUGGUAAUCUGAGGGCA